rnacentral:rRNA from 1 species
UUUAUUGGAGAGUUUGAUCCUGGCUCAGGAUGAACGCUGGCGGCGUGCCUAAUACAUGCAAGUCGAGCGAAUGGAUUGAGAGCUUGCUCUCAAGAAGUUAGCGGCGGACGGGUGAGUAACACGUGGGUAACCUGCCCAUAAGACUGGGAUAACUCCGGGAAACCGGGGCUAAUACCGGAUAAUAUUUUGAACUGCAUGGUUCG